rnacentral:misc_RNA from 1 species
GAAAAUGGCACCUUCUCAGUCCCAAGUGACAGAGAUCAUUGAAUUGGCAAGCCCUGAUUCUUCAAAUGAUAUUUGGGUAUCAUAGUCCAGAGACUUUGUAGCUCCUGGUAUUGCAUGUGUCAAUUUGAAUGGUUUUGUCUCACCAUCCUCUAACUGAGAAGAACAGAAAGACCAAAGCAACUGGAUUGGAUCGGUUCGGAGGAAAUUCCUUUGGCAUCUACGUCCAUUAGGAAGAC